CAAGACGUAGCUAUAACACAAAGCAUUCAGCUUACACCUGAAAGAUGCCUGUCGCCCAGGCCGCCUUGA
rnacentral:tRNA from 1 species